UACGGAGGGUGCAAGCGUUAUCCGGAUUCACUGGGUUUAAAGGGUGCGUAGGAGGGCAGGUAAGUCAGUGGUGAAAUCUCCGAGCUUAACUUGGAAACUGCCGUUGAUACUAUCUGUCUUGAAUAUUGUGGAGGUGAGCGGAAUAUGUCAUGUAGCGGUGAAAUGCUUAGAUAUGACAUAGAACACCAAUUGCGAAGGCAGCUCGCUACACGAAUAUUGACUCUGAGGCACGAAAGCGUGGGGAUCAAACAGG
rnacentral:rRNA from 1 species